rfam:Dipodomys ordii contig_60913, whole genome shotgun sequence.
GGUGGCUCAGUGGUAGAGUGCAUGCUUUGCAUGCAUGAGGCUUUGGGUUUGAUUCCUCAGCACCA